AACCUCGCAUGCACGGCGAGGACGACGACUGCUUGCCGACGCCGCCGCCCUCGGUGAGGAGGGAUGACAUGCACAAGCAGAAAGCACGCUGUGCACCGACCGACGCGCCGCGGGGACACGACCACCUCAACCAACGGCGCAUCUGACCACACCUCCACAUCCACACCGCUCCAGCCAGCCGGUCACAAGACAUCGCUCUGUGCCCGCCUCAUGCCGCUGCACCCCUCGGCAGCAACUCCCUCUCAGCAACAGCUAGCUCGCACGGAUCCCGCUUAUCUGAUGACCGUCUUGCUGUGCAUGACGGAUAACAGAAGACAUUGACCUUUUUAUAGAAGGGGUACAGCUAUGCACCUUUCAUGCACCUGUUGCUAGGAGCAGCACUGGCACCUAUUGCCCUGCUGUACUGAUGAGGGCCAGAGCGAACUGGGAUGCAUGUGGCGAACAGAGG